AAUUGGAUGUGUUUGUUCAGACCAUUGUCAAUAACGAAGAUAAAGUUUGUAAGAAGCCAUAAAUGUUCUUCUUUUAACCUUUUUUUUUUCUCGGAUUCAAAGAAAAAUUGGUUUAAAUCAAUAGGUUUGUUUGUGUGAUUUUGAUGCAAUUAACCUAAAAGAAGUUUUGGUUGUGAAUCAAAUCAAGCAACGAAGGACAACCAAGUAUGUUGGUGGGAUAGAUUAUCUUUAAGAAAGGGAAACCAAUUGUCACCAUCGCCGGCUUCUACCAAAACAGUUCCAGAUGAACAAGGCCACGAUCUCCAUCGCAUCAACUAGUACGGAUCGAUUGUAAGUUAAUCGAGAUUCAAAGUAACAACCCCAACUCUCAAUUCUUAUUAAAUCUCUAGAAGUAGAAUCGGUUUUGCAGGCCUGUUUUAACGAUUUGAAGGUUCCUGUUGAUGGUGGUUCCUUAUAAUUAGCAUCAAGAUCUUGAUGUCAGAUUUGUAUUGGUCAAGAAUUUUGAUCCUUGCUCUAAUGAUUGUGCAUCCACCUAUUUGAGUAGAGCAAAAUUGUAAGCAACUCUUUAUGCCCAAAAAUCCUCAUCGUUACAUUGUUGGUACUCAUUUUCUUUAAAUUUGCAUGGUAAUACUAUAAACACAAAUGUUCACAUGUUUGUUAGAAGUCAUGAAGCGGGCUGACCAAUCAUCAUCUUAAUGUAUAGUGGUACUGAAUAUAUGAAAGACAACCUAGCAACUAUACCCCCAAAAGACCAAGCAAUUCCUAAUGAAAACACACUUUGGGUGAUGAAGGUUGUAAGUUUCGUAGCUUUGAUACCUCAGGAGGUUUUGGCCACGCUAACUGUUGCAACCACUUUUACAUGGGUAAAUGGACAGUUGGGUAACGGGUCAAACAGGUUGGUGGUCAUCACACUCAGGUAGACAUUGCAGCCAAAGUCAAGGGGCCUAAAGAUGAAGUUCAAAUAUAUACCUGAAUGGACGCCAAAAAACGUGAGCUAAUGAUUCGGGAUAAAGAUUUGGCUCAUAUUGAAGAACAUACGAAGGCUUUUAAAGCCGAAGGAGGGGAUGUAAGCAUUUGGUGACCAAAAUGAAGAAGAAGAUUAAGCGGCCAAGUGAUAGUUAAUAGUACCAAGCCAAAGCAGAGUGUCUACAGUGAUUUAGGAGGUCUAACAAAGAAAACUCACUUUGGGCGUCUUUGGACGGGUUCCUUUCUAGCUAGCGUUUUAAGUUUUACCCGUUAGAGAUAGAAUAUAACCUAAAACAACCCAUUCGUAUAUAAAUGGUUAAAGUUUCCACCUUUUAACACCGAAUUAUUUAUAAUAUUUCUAACGUUUCUGUGGUGUUUUAAUGCAGACCAUGAAUUUUAGGAACUUGCAGCUUCUUUCUGGUAUGCUUCAGGUAAACGAGUAACGAAAUACUUGAGCAUCGCAACACGUGUUAGAAGUUCUCUUAGGAUUGCAGAAAGGCCAAGUUUUGUAUCUGCAUUUCGCUGAUCCAAUUGUGGGAAUAUGAGCCCCAAUGUGCUUGGGGCAUUCUGCACCGAUACUGGACUACCCUGUGACUUUAAUCAUAGUACUUGUGAUGGGAAGAAUGAGUUGUGUUAUGUUCGAGGACCAGGGUUCAUAUUCUUGAUUUCUAUACAUUCUAUAUAGGUGGUAAGAUCAUUGGGUUAGGUCUAAACGGUUCAACUUUUGUCGGUUGUCUCUGAUCGUCUUUACAAGUGCUUUUGUCGGUUGUCUCUGAUUGUCUUUACAAGUGCUUUGCUAUGUGUUAGGUAUAUUAUACAUCAAUAUAUGAUAGCUUUUGAUGAAA